rnacentral:lncRNA from 1 species
GUAAACAAGAGCGAUAAUGAACACAAAGAAUUAGCGACGGAAUAUAGAAUGUUUUGGUAGUUUCAAAUUUGGACUUGCAAGGACAUCACAUCGAAGAUGAUGAACUCAGCAGGCUAUCUGAAUGCACCUCCGUGGCAAAUUAAUAAAUUGAAAUAUACAUACAUGUAAUAAUUACAGAAAAUAAUUUUCUCAUGACUAUACAUUUUUGUAAUUGGUGUAAAUUGCUUGGUU